rnacentral:rRNA from 1 species
GGCUCAGAUUGAACGCUGGCGGCAGGCCUAACACAUGCAAGUCGAGCGGUAGAGAGAAGCUUGCUUCUCUUGAGAGCGGCGGACGGGUGAGUAAUGCCUAGGAAUCUGCCUGGUAGUGGGGGAUAACGUUCGGAAACGGACGCUAAUACCGCAUACGUCCUACGGGAGAAAGCAGGGGACCUUCGGGCCUUGCGCUAUCAGAUGAGCCUAGGUCGGAUUAGCUAGUUGGUGGGGUAAUGGCUCACCAAGGCGACGAUCCGUAACUGGUCUGAGAGGAUGAUCAGUCACACUGGAACUGAGACACGGUCCAGACUCCUACGGGAGGCAGCAGUGGGGAAUAUUGG